rnacentral:rRNA from 1 species
AUUGAACGCUGGCGGAAUGCUUUACACAUGCAAGUCGAGCGGCAGCGCGGGGCAACCUGGCGGCGAGCGGCGAACGGGUGAGUAAUGCAUCGGAACGUACCCCGUCGUGGGGAGUAACUACCCGAAAGGGUAAGCUAAUAACCGCAUACGACCUGAGGGUGGAAAGACGGGGGACCGGAAAGGCCUCGCGCGAUGGGAGCGGCCGAUGCCGGAUUAGCUAGUUGGUAGGGUAAAGGCCUACCAAGGCGACGAUCCGUAGCUGGUCUGAGAGGACGACCAGCCACACUGGAACUGAGACACGGUCCAGACUCCUACGGGAGGCAGCAGUGGGGAAUUUUGGACAAUGGGCGAAAGCCUGAUCCAGCCAUUCCGCGUGAGUGAAGAAGGCC